rnacentral:tRNA from 1 species
GGGCUCGUAGCUCACUUGGCAGAGCGCCGCUCUUGCAAAGCGGAGGCAGGGAGUUCGAAUCUCCCCGGGUCCA